rnacentral:lncRNA from 1 species
AAUCAUAACCGUAACUGCCAGCACACCGAGCCAUACAUUUCAAUUUUCAAUUCGAAUAAAAAAAUUCGAGCCCUGAAAAUUGAGGCAACAAGCUCACCAACGGGGUCAGGGACGGGCAGGACGGCGGAGGCGAUGGUGGCGACUGGAGGUGGGGACGACCGGCGGCGCCGAGUGUGAUCUGCCUUGUGUUCUAUGAAGAAUCCUCAGUAUUCAAUGUUAGUGACGAAUGAUAAUAAUCCAAAGUGAGGGUAUGUCCCGAUGAGUGAAACAGGAAUAAGGGUUUGGGCUCAUUCCAUGGGCUUAUUUUUAAAAUGAUGAAUGGGCUUUUUUUUAACAACUUAGCUUUGGGGCUCAUAAUUAAAGGACUAAUGUUAUUAAAAGAAAUUCGGCUGCAAUUAAGUAAAACAAUGAGAAAUUUAGCUUGUUUAAAUUACAUGACAUAUUAGUAAAAUUAGCUAAGUACAUGAUUAGAACAACAUUAGUAAUUUAAAAUUACAUGAUAUAAAACAUAAAUUAUAUGAAAUUAAUGAUUAAAAAAUUACAAGAUAUAAAAUAUAAACUAAUGAAAUUAAUGAUUAAAAAAUUUGUGGGUUAACGUAUAAUUUGAGAAAAAUAUAUAUUGAUAUAAUUGAAAAUCAGAAAAAAUUAAAUGGAGAGAAAAAAUAAAAAGAGUAUUUUUUUUUUUGGAUAUGAGUUUAGUGUAAAAUGUUGAAGAUGACCUAAUAGCAUUUUUAGCCCUAUUUCCAACAAUGCUGCUAAUUGCGUUAUACAUUUAGAUUCAUUUUUUUCAAUGAAUAAAAUAAAAAAUCAAAAUAUUGUAUUUUUUUAGUUGAAGAACUUGCAAACACAUUCAGUUUUUUUUUUCUCUCUUAUACAUUUAGUUUUAUAUUGUUAUCGGAUAAUUAGUUUGGGAUAUAAGAUGAAAUAGUUUUGUCUAUUUAAUUUUGUGUUAAUAAUGAAAAUUACCUAUUUCAGUUUGUAAGGAAAAAAUAUUCAUUUUUUUAUAAUAUAUAAAAAUAGUUUUUUCUUCUGUCUCAAUUCAUUUUUACUUAUUCCCUUCAAUAUGUAUGAUGUGUUUCUUUUAUAAUUUUAAGAAAUAAAAUAGAAGUUUCCAUCAAACAUGAUGAAGAUUAAAACAUAUUUAUGGUAGAAUUGAGAGAUUUGAAGUCAUGUAAAAAAUAGAACAUUCGAAUACAAUAUAUGUGAAUAUGACCUUUUUUUUUAAAUGUUAAAAUCAACUUUUACUUUGUGUUUAUCUUAAUAUUAUUUAUAAUAUAUUUUAGCUAUUUAAUAAUUAUAAUAUCAUCACACGAUGUCAUGUCCGUGCGUGGAUAUGACUAGUACUUCCUCCGUCCCAAACGAAAUGUCCUGUUUUCCUUUUUGGGCUAUCCCAAACGAAAUGUCUUGUUUCCUUUUUUGGCAAUACUCUCUCUCUAUACUUAAUAUUUAAAUAAUUUCCACCAACCCACUUAAUCUACUUUAUACACAUUUCUUAAUCUCCGUGCAGAAAAGAAAUAAGUCAUUUCGUUUGGAAAUUUUGACAAUUUCUUUUUCAAAAUNUUAGCAGACUAUCUUACAAACCAAGAUUGCAACAUGCAGUAUAUUAGGCUCACCUGUAUAUUAUGCAUACCAAUAUAUUAUGCGUACCUGGAUAAGCAUGUGUAUAUUAUGCGUACCUAGAUUAUGCUUACAUGUAUAUUAUGGGUACUAGUAUAUUAUGCGUACCUGUAUAUUAUGAGUACUAGUAUAUUAUGUAUACCUGGAUUAAGCGUACCAGUAUAUUAUGUGUACCUGGAUAAACAUGCAUAUAUUAUGCGUACCAGUAUAUUAUGCGUACAUGCAUAAUAUGUGUAACAGUAUAUUAUGCGUACCAAUAUAUGAUUGCAGCUAACUUCAACCAAGAUUGCAGCAUCCAGUAUAUUAGGCGUACUAGUAUAUUAUGCGUAUCAGUUUUUUAUGCAUACCUGGAUUAUGCGUACCGGUAUAUUAUGCAUACCAGUGUAUGAUUGCAGCUAACUUCAGCCAAGAUUGCAGCAUCCAGUAUAUUAUGCGUACCAAUAUAUUAUGUGUGCCUGGAUAACAUGUAAUGCUUCAACUGCUGCUUCUUUGACAGAUGUUGUUCGAGGGAGAUGUGAAGGCGAAGUAGUUUUUUAGUUACUGAUUCUCUAAUGCUCUCACUCACGUAUAUCAAACAAAAACAAUUUGCAGCCCUAAAUCAUAACCGUAACUGCCAGCACACCGAGCCAUACAUUUCAAUUUUCAAUUCGAAUAAAAAAAUUCGAGCCCUGAAAAUUGAGGCAACAAGCUCACCAACGGGGUCAGGGACGGGCAGGACGGCGGAGGCGAUGGUGGCGACUGGAGGUGGGGACGACCGGCGGCGCCGAGUGUGAUCUGCCUUGUGUUCUAUGAAGAAUCCUCAAUAUUCAAUGUUAGUGACGAAUGAUAAUAAUCCAAAGUUGAGGGUUGUACUGGUCCCGAUGAGGUGGCGAAAUCAGUGGGGGAAAUAGA